rnacentral:rRNA from 1 species
ACCUGGCUCAGAACGAACGCUGGCGGCAGGCCUAACACAUGCAAGUCGAGCGCUCUCUUCGGAGGGAGCGGCGGACGGGUGAGUAACGCGUGGGAAUAUGCCCUUCUCUGCGGAAUAGCCACUGGAAACGGUGAGUAAUACCGCAUACGCCCUUCGGGGGAAAGAUUUAUCGGAGAAGGAUUAGCCCGCGUUAGAUUAGGUAGUUGGUGGGGUAAUGGCCUACCAAGCCUACGAUCUAUAGCUGGUUUUAGAGGAUGAUCAGCCACACUGGGACUGAGACACGGCCCAGACUCCUACGGGAGGCAGCAGUGAGGAAUCUUAGACAAUGGGCGCAAGCCUGAUCUAGCCAUGCCGCGUGUGUGAUGAAGGCCUUAGGGUCGUAAAGCACUUUCGCCAGAGAUGAUAAUGACAGUAUCUGGUAAAGAAACCCCGGCUAACUCCGUGCCAGCAGCCGCGGUAAUACGGAGGGGGUUAGCGUUGUUCGGAAUUACUGGGCGUAAAGCGCACGUAGGCGGAUCAGAAAGUUGGGGGUGAAAUCCCGGGGCUCAACCCCGGAACUGCCUCCAAAACUCCUGGUCUUGAGUUCGAGAGAGGUGAGUGGAAUUCCGAGUGUAGAGGUGAAAUUCGUAGAUAUUCGGAGGAACACCAGUGGCGGAAGGCGUCUCACUGGCUCGAUACUGACG